rnacentral:ncRNA from 1 species
UCGUAGGCGCAGCUCAUCAAACUGUGCCGAUUACGUCCCUGCCAUUUGUACACACCGCCCGUCGUUGUUUCCGAUGAUGGUGCAAUACAGGUGAUCGGACAGUCGAGUGCUUCACUUGACCGAAAGUUCACCGAUAUUUCUUCAAUAGAGGAAGCAAAAGUCGUAACAAGGUAGCUGUAGGUGAACCUGCAGCUGGAUCAUUU